rnacentral:rRNA from 1 species
UACGGAGGUGGCAAGCGUUGUUCGGAAUUACUGGGCGUAGAGGGCGCGUAGGCGGCUUGGCAAGUCAGAUGUGAAAGCCCCGGGCUUAACUCGGGAAUUGCAUCUGAAACUGCUUUGCUUGAGUCCUGGAGGGGGUAGUGGAAUUCCCAGUGUAGCGGUGAAAUGCGUAGAUAUUGGGAGGAACACCUGCGGCGAAGGCGGCUACCUGGACAGUGACUGACGCUGAGGCGCGAAAGCUAGGGGAGCGAACGGGAUUAGAUACCCCGGUAGU